rnacentral:rRNA from 1 species
ACGAAGGGUGCAAGCGUUACUCGGAAUUACUGGGCGUAAAGCGUGCGUAGGUGGUUUGUUAAGUCUGAUGUGAAAGCCCUGGGCUCAACCUGGGAACGGCAUUGGAUACUGGCUUACUAGAGUGCGGUAGAGGGUAGUGGAAUUCCCGGUGUAGCAGUGAAAUGCGUAGAUAUCGGGAGGAACAUCUGUGGCGAAGGCGACUACCUGGACCAGCACUGACACUGAGGCACGAAAGCGUGGGGAGCAAACAGGA